GACUGGGUGGAUGAGGCUCACCCCGGCGGGGAGAAGGGACGAGGAGGGGCGGACAGCGGAAGGUCCGGGAGUGUCCGCCAUUGCGUAAUUGUGAGUCUGUGAGAGAAGAUGUGAAGUAUGGCCUCGUCCCGGUCAUCUGGGCGUGCGGGUCCCGGGUUUUGAUCGCGCGUUUGUGUAGAAUAAAAGAAAUGACAGCCACCAUAGAGGAACUAGCCAAAGUUAAUAGUCGGCCAGCCCAGAGUCCCUUCAGGAGUUCUGUGUGACUGGGAAAGGAAAUCUGACAGCACCGGGCACGUGACAGUAGACUACAGGGAAUUCAAUAAGAGUUUGACUCUUCGUCAACAAUAAUCUGGCGCCCAAAAGUGGGGCCUCAGAGAAGACUCAGGACCCCGAAGGAGUUGCCCGAAACCGGAGCUGAGGUACCAGCAGGGGCCCAUUGAAGCCCCACUGAGUUCAAGCUUCUCCUCCGGUGGAACUGGUAAGUCCUCCUGAGCCCCAGACCUCUCCUUGACCAGACUUUUCUUAGGCUUCCCUGAGCCCUCUUCUUGAGUAGGCCUGGACCUUGGAUUUCUGUGUCCAUCCUUGCUGUACCCAGUUUUAGCAAGAAUCCUGUUAAGUAGGUUUAGUGAGAAUUCCCUUAUCCUUGAUCAGGUUCCUCAUCUUCCACCCUUAAUGUCUAAGUCCUUCGCCUGCCUUUAGCAGGAUUCUACCCUUAAUACCUAAUCAAGUUCCUGUUUGUGAUUUCCCACCCACUGACCCCCUUACUCUUAUAGUUGGCUACAAAACCAACUGUUGUUGCUAUAUUGGGGAGUUGAGUUCACUGUCUCUCCCCCAUUGCAAUUGUCUUGAACAGUAUUACUUACCGUUUACACACGUGUAUUCUUUUCCUGUUUCCCU
rnacentral:lncRNA from 1 species